rnacentral:rRNA from 1 species
GACGAACGCUGGCGGCGUGCUUAACACAUGCAAGUCGAACGGAAAGGCCUUUUCAGAGGUACUCGAGUGGCGAACGGGUGCGUAACACGUGGGUGAUCUGCCCUGCACUCUGGGAUAAGCCUGGGAAACUGGGUCUAAUACCGGAUAGGACCGCACUUUAGUGUGUGUGGUGGAAAGUUUUUUCGGUGUAGGAUGAGCCCGCGGCCUAUCAGCUUGUUGGUGGGGUAAUGGCCUACCAAGGCGGCGACGGGUAGCCGGACUGAGAGGUUGGUCGGCCACAUUGGGACUGAGAUACGGCCCAGACUCCUACGGGAGGCAGCAGUGGGGAAUAUUGCACAAUGGGCGCAAGCCUGAUGCAGCGACGCCGCGUGGGGGAUGACGGCCUUCGGGUUGUAAACUCCUUUCGCCAGGGACGAAGCGUUUUGUGACGGUACCUGGAGAAGAAGCACCGGCUAACUACGUG